GCGGACAUGGCGGAACUGGCAGACGCACCAGACUUAGGCUCUGGCGGGAAACCGUGGGGGUUCAAGUCCCUUUGUCCGCACCA
rnacentral:tRNA from 1 species